rnacentral:lncRNA from 1 species
GGCGCCCGCCACUAGGCCCGGGCCUACCGUCAGCCCGGGCCCGGGACGCUCGGGCUCGGCGGCCGCCGCCCGGCGGGAGGCCAUGGGCACGGCGGGGGCCAGGUGUCUCAGGGAAGCUGCCCCUUUGUGCUGGGGGAGUUAAGCGGCACCCAGGAACAAGCGGAUUAUCGACCUGCGGGGUGGAUGGCAGCGCCCUUAGCGAUGUCCCUUCCUUCCUGGAAACUCAGCGAAGAGUUAGCGUUCCCAGGCUGUUGGAGCUCUUCCACGUUAAGGGAUGAUAUUUGCUAUGUGCCCUGCGCCUGCCUUUGCUGCUGUUCCUGUAAAAAAGCAGUGUUUUUUCUGGAGGGAAAGAAGCCAGAUAACUUUGCACCCCACGCUCUGAAUUGGUCUUCACCCUUUUUAAAAAAAAAAACGUUCCUCCAUGUCUCAGGCAUGUAACGUGUACCCUGUUUGACCCGUGCUGUCCUUUCUCUGUGUAGUUUGCUUUUUGCAUAUUCCCAACUAAGAAUACAGGGCCAAAUUAAACACUGUUUUUUGGUUUGUUUUUUAAGAUUCAUGCAAGAUUUGCAUUCAGCACCGUAUUGUCUUGUUCACUUUGCUGUGAUUUGAAUGGUUUUGUCCUUUUCAGGCUGUUAGUGCUGAGUAACUGGAGUCUUCCCCCGACAGAGCAAAUCCAGUGGAGCGAGGGGGGCAGAGUUCAGGUGUCAGUGCUCUUGAAAUUCCCAUCAUAGCAAAGGCGUUAUCAUCUUGCAGUGAUUAUGGGAACCCUUCGCAGUGGUUCCUAGCAUUUAGAUCUUGGUGGUUGGUUCUGUGUUCCCCCGGGCUGGUUAGCUGCAGGUUCCUCACAGAGAUGCUUCUGUCUUACAGAGCACAGCGAGGUGAGGCUGGCUGACCCUUGAAAGCAUUGUACGGUCUGCAAUGGCAGUGGUGGUCCUCCAAACUUACAGAAAACACCCCUGCCUUUGUGGCAGCGCGCCUGGAGAGCUUUGCUAGCAGCUGAGGAAGAGAAUUAAGCAUUAAGCUUGGUUUUAAUGGUCUCGGUCUAAGAUCUCAGACUGUUCCUCUGCAGUCAGUUAGGUAACUAUUUAUGGAGACCAGAACCUGUUCCAAAGUUUAUUUUGAUUCUGUUUUUUUAUGGUUUGGUUUUGUUUCUUGUAAUGGAACAUUACUCUUUCUUUAAGAACUGCUAAAAGCAAGCUGGUAAAAAUGAGACCUCUUUUUUUUUUUUCCCCUGAAAUCAUUGGAGUCAAUCACAGUAGAAUAAGCAAGACUGGAGGUACGUGGCCAUCCCCUUAUGAUCUUUGCGAUGGGAAUGUGGUUGAGAACAAAGUCAGCGUGCGCCCAGGGGAGGACACUCGAUAUUUCAGCCUGUGAGUGUUUUCAGUGCGUGCGGUGGAGCCUUUUGCUGACAUCCUUUGAUUUGUAGGCUUACAGAUGCAAAAUAGGGAAGCUUGUGUCUGAAGCCCUAAGCUAAAGCAAAACCAGAAAUUAUCUCAUUAUCAAGCAUUACAGAUAAUGCA